rnacentral:rRNA from 1 species
AUUGAACGCUGACGGCAGGCCUAACACAUGCAAGUCGAACGAGUGGCGGACGGGUGAGUAAUGUCUGGGAAACUGACUGAUGGAGGGGGAUAAAUAAUGGAAACGGUAGCUAAUAACGCAUACCAUCGGAUGUGCCCAGAUGGGAUUAGCUAGUAGGUGGGGUAACGGCUAACCUAGGCGACAAUCCAUAGCUGGUCUGAGAGGAUGACCAGCCACACUGGAACUGAGACACGGGCCAGACUCCUACGUGAGUCAGCAGUGGGUAAUAUUGCACAAUGUGCGCAAGCCUGAUGCAGCCAUGCCGCGUGUAUGAAGAAGGCCUUCGGGUUGUAAAGUACUUUCAGCGGGGAGGCGUUACCCGCAGAAGAAGCACCGGCUAACUCCGUGCCAGCAGCCGCGGUAAUUC